GAAUGUGCAAAAAGUUGAGUCGUCAUCCGGCAUAAGAGUGAUUGAGCAUAUUGUAGUAUUGUUAGAGUAGUUCGUUCGGUGAAAUUAUACAGAAAUAAUUUUAUAUCCGGUAACAGAAGCGAAUCGAAGUAUUAAAAAAUGACUGCGAUCGAAAGAGAACCCGUUAAAUUACCGAUAUCGCACGCGAUAUUGUGCGUACCACAAUCGCAACCGAUUUCAUUGAAGGUGAUUCAGAUGGAAGUGGAAGAAACUCAGAAAGGAGAUGGAUUAAAACAAUAUUAUAUAAAUAAAAUUGAAGAAUUGCAGCCAACUGAAGGGAGAAAGA